rnacentral:rRNA from 1 species
GGCGACGAUCCUUAGCUGGUCUGAGAGGAUGAUCAGCCACACUGGGACUGAGACACGGCCCAGACUCCUACGGGAGGCAGCAGUGGGGAAUAUUGCGCAAUGGGGGCAACCCUGACGCAGCCAUGCCGCGUGUGUGAAGAAGGCCUUCGGGUUGUAAAGCACUUUCAAUUGGGAAGAAAAGCGGGUCGUUAAUAGCGGUCCGCCCUGACAUUACCUUUAGAAGAAGCACCGGCUAACUCCGUGCCAGCAGCCGCGGUAAUACGGAGGGUGCGAGCGUUAAUCGGAAUUACUGGGCGUAAAGCGCGCGUAGGUGGUUUGUUAAGUCAGCUGUGAAAGCCCCGGGCUCAACCUGGGAACUGCAAUUGAUACUGGCCGACUAGAGUACGAGAGAGGGAGGUAGAAUUCCAUGUGUAGCGGUGAAAUGCGUAGAUAUAUGGAGGAAUACCGGUGGCGAAGGCGGCCUCCUGGCUCGAUACUGACGCUGAGGUGCGAAAGCGUGGGGAUCAAACAGGAUUAGAUACCCUGGUAGUCCACGCCGUAAACGAUGUCUACUAGCCGUUGGGAGACUUGAUUUCUUAGUGGCGCAGCUAACGCAAUAAGUAGACCGCCUGGGGAGUACGGCCGCAAGGUUAAAACUCAAAUGAAUUGACGGGGGCCCGCACAAGCGGUGGAGCAUGUGGUUUAAUUCGAUGCAACGCGAAGAACCUUACCAGGUCUUGACAUCCUCGGAACUUUCCAGAGAUGGAUUGGUGCCUUCGGGAACCGAGAGACAGGUGCUGCAUGGCUGUCGUCAGCUCGUGUCGUGAGAUGUUGGGUUAAGUCCCGUAACGAGCGCAACCCUUGUCCUUAGUUGCCAGCACGUAAUGGUGGGAACUCUAAGGAGACUGCCGGUGACAAACCGGAGGAAGGUGGGGACGACGCCAAGUCAUCAUGGCCCUUACGACCUGGGCUACACACGUGCUACAAUGGAACGCACAGAGGGCAGCAAAAGCGCGAGCUGGAGCCAAUCCCACAAAACGUUUCGUAGUCCGGAUCGGAGUCUGCAACUCGACUCCGUGAAGUCGGAAUCGCUAGUAAUCGUGGAUCAGAAUGCCACGGUGAAUACGUUCCCGGGCCUUGUACACACCGCCCGUCACACCAUGGGAGUGGGUUGCUCCAGAAGUGGUUAGCCUAACCUUCGGGGGGGCGAUCACCACGGAGUGGUUCAUGACUG